rnacentral:rRNA from 1 species
AUGAGAAGCCAAGGUGUUAUGCCAAAUGUUGUUACCUGCAACUCAGUCAUGACCUACCAUUGCAAGAAUGGAAGAGUCAAAGAAGCUGCAGAAAUAUUUUAUUCCAUGGCUGUGAACGGCCGAAAACCUGAUGUCAUCUCAUACUCUAUUAUGCUCCACGGGCACGCGACAGAAGGAUCCAUUGUUGAAAUGAUUGAUCUCUGUGAGCUGAUGGCAAGAGACGGAGUUGUACCCAACCGCUCUGUUUUCAACAUACUGAUUAAGGCAUAUGCUAAGUAUGGCAUGAUGGAUGUGGCCAUGCUUUUCUUCGAAGACAUGUUGAAGAAGGGGGUGAACCCUAAUGAAGUCACUUAUUUAACCGUGAUAUCUGCAUUUUGCAAGAUGGGCAGGAUGGAUGAUGCGAUGGAAAAAUUCAAUGAGAUGAUUGAUAUGGGAGUACCACUUGACACAGAAGUUUACAUGUGCAUGGUUGAGGGUUAUUUUAAUCAUGAUGAUUCCAUGAAAGCGGAGGAAUUUAUUACUAAAAUGAAGAGCAGGGAUAUUUUUCAUAGGCCGCGGAAGGGUAAU